rnacentral:rRNA from 1 species
UNUGACUUGAGUGCAGAAGGGGAGAGUGGAAUUCCAUGUGUAGCGGUGAAAUGCGUAGAUAUAUGGAGGAACACCAGUGGCGAAAGCGGCUCUNUGGUCUGUCACUGACGCUGAGGCUCGAAAGCGUGGGUAGCGAACAGGAUUAGAUACCCUGGUAGUNCACGCCGUAAACGAUGAGUGCUAGGUGUUAGGCCCUUUCCGGGGCUUAGUGCCGGAGCUAACGCAAUAAGCACUCCGCCGGGGGAGUACGACCGCAAGGUUGAAACUCAAAGGAAUUGACGGGGGCCCGCACAAGCGGUGGAGCAUGUGGUUUAAUUCGAAGCAACGCGAAGAACCUUACCAGGUCUUGACAUCCCGAUGCUAUUCUUAGAGAUAGGAAGUUACUUCGGUACAUCGGAGACAGGUGGUGCAUGGUUGUCGUCAGCUCGUGUCGUGAGAUGUUGGGUUAAGUCCCGCAACGAGCGCAACCCUUAUUGUUAGUUGCCAUCAUUAAGUUGGGCACUCUAGCGAGACUGCCGGUAAUAAACCGGAGGAAGGUGGGGAUGACGUCAAAUCAUCAUGCCCCUUAUGACCUGGGCUACACACGUGCUACAAUGGUCGGUACAACGAGUUGCGAGCCGGUGACGGCAAGCUAAUCUCUGAAAGCCGAUCUCAGUUCGGAUUGGAGGCUGCAACUCGCCUCCAUGAAGUCGGAAUCGCUAGUAAUCGCGGAUCAGCACGCCGCGGUGAAUACGUUCCCGGGCCUUGUACACACCGCCCGUCACACCACGAGAGUUUGUAACACCCGAAGUCGGUGAGGUAACCUUUUAGGGNCCAG